rnacentral:rRNA from 1 species
GAUGAACGCUAGCGGCAGGCUUAACACAUGCAAGUCGAGGGGCAGCACUGGUAGCAAUACCUGGUGGCGACCGGCAAACGGGUGCGGAACACGUACGCAACUUACCCUAAACAGGUGAAUAGCCCUCGGAAACGAGGAUUAAUACACCGUAAACUAUAUUUGUGGCAUCAUUGGUAUAGAAUAGCUGAGGCGGUUUAGGAUGGGCGUGCGUCCCAUUAGCUAGUUGGUAGGGUAAUGGCUUACCAAGGCGACGAUGGGUGACUGGUGUGAGAGCACGACCAGUCACACGGGCACUGAGACACGGGCCCGACUCCUACGGGAGGCAGCAGUGAGGAAUAUUGGUCAAUGGACGCAAGUCUGAACCAGCCAUGCCGCGUGAAGGAUGAAGGCGUUCUGCGUUGUGAACCGCUUUUAGUAAGGAAGAAGGGGCUUCGGCCUUGACGGUACUUGCAGAAAAAGGACCGGCUAACUACGUGCCAGCCGCCGCAGUAACAC